UUGGCAGGCUACUCAAAGCAGACACAACAGCAGAGAUGGGACCUGGAGACGCACUUUCCUUAUGGGGACUGACGCUAGUCAUGCUACCUGAUUCAGGUUUAAAACUGAUAGACCUGCUGGACAAUGGACAAGUCAACUGGGACUGAAUGUAUAUGUUCAUGAAUUGAGGGUGGUGAUGACAUCAUCUGGAG